CCGACGUGUGGCAGCAGUGGGGAAUAUUUUUCAAUUUAUUAAACUCUUACCCAUCAACUCCUCUUUAAUUAUUAAUUUCUUCUUAUUUUAAAGUUCUUUUCUAAGGGAAGAAGAAAGUGACGGUACCUUAGGAAUAAGCCUCGGCUAACUACGUGCCAGCAGCCGCGGUAAUACGUAGGAGGCGAGCGUUAUCCGGAAUGACUGGGCGUAAAGGGUGCGUAGGUGGUUUGGCAAGUUAGUAGCGUAACUCCAAGGCUCAACCUUGGAACUACUACUAAAACUGUUGGACUUGAGUGCAGGAGGGGCAACCGGAAUUCCUAGUGUAGCGGUGGUAUGCGUAGAUAUUAGGAGGAACACCAGUGGCGAAGGCGGGUUGCUAGACUGUAACUGACACUGAGGCACGAAAGCGUGGGGAGCAAACAGGAUUAGAUACCCGUGUAGUC
rnacentral:rRNA from 1 species